UUUGUGUCUGGGCGGAUAGCGUCUCUUCCCUAGACCCUUGAAGCUUGUGUCUGGGACGACCCCUUGGUGGUCUUGGGAGUGGAAUGGUGUCUCCCUCUGCUGGGAAGCCUGGGAACUGCAGGCAUCCGAGAGCGAGUAGGGGCGUGUACAGGGUGGCUGGGAAGGGCGGGGGGUGCUCUGCCCUUCACCGGAACGGGGUGAACUGGAGAACUGUUGUCUAAAAAUCUUGGAGGAACACCCCUGCCCGUGGUUAGAUACAGAAGUAUUUCCCAGACAGCUUGCUAAGGGGAAAAAAAACAAGGUAUUGGGAAACCGUGCAGUGUGCUACCAUUUGUGAGCGGUAAAAUAAUGCAUAUGUAUAUACUUGUAAUGAAUAAAAUAUUUUUGGAGAUUGGCAUCCAUACCCAUGGCUUCUGGAGAGGGAAACUGGGAGGCUGGAGGGUGGGGUGGAAGUGAGACUCACUCAUUAUCACGUGCCCUCUUAUAUUUUUUGAAUUUUGCAUCUUGAAAAUGUACUACCUUAAAGGGGUUUAAUUUAAAAAAUUUGGUUCAGAUUUAAAAAAAAAUUUGCAGGUCAAAAUUUCAACCUAAGGGCUGGUUUCAACCUGGGGGACCAGCAAUUAGAGACUUCUGACAACCUCUGAAUGUUCUGUAGUUUUAAACACCAUGAUCUUACAUUCUGAGGUACAGACGUUUACGGUUUUUACCCAAUCCAGGUCAACCAUAAAUUCUUCCUAGGCUGGACGUGAACAUGCUGCGUCCAAGUGUGUGUUGGGCUGGCGCUGGGGCUUGGGUUUAUGGUCAGAAGGACUCUGAGACCCUAGUGUGAUGAGCACACUGAGUCUUAGGAAGGGCUGUGAGGAGUAGAGUUUGUGCAGUCACUUGCACCCUAUUGGGGAUUAGGUCUCAUUUGGAGUGAGUCUUCUGGGCCAAUCUGACUUCAGUUAUGUUUUAAAUGCAU
rnacentral:lncRNA from 1 species